rnacentral:rRNA from 1 species
AGUAAAAGUCGUAACAAGGUUUCCGUAGGUGAGCCUGCGGAAGGAUCAUUACAGUGUUCCCUGCCCUCACGGGUAGAAACGCCCACCCUUGUAUAAUAUAUCUUGUUGCUUUGGCAGGCCGCCCUCGGGCACCGGCUCCGGCUGGAUCGUGCCUGCCAGAGGACCCCAAACUCUGAAUGUUAGUGUCGUCUGAGUACUAUAUAAUAGUUAAAACUUUCAACAACGGAUCUCUUGGUUCUGGCAUCGAUGAAGAACGCAGCGAAAUGCGAUAAGUAAUGUGAAUUGCAGAAUUCAGUGAAUCAUCGAAUCUUUGAACGCACAUUGCGCCCCGUGGUAUUCCGCGGGGCAUGCCUGUUCGAGCGUCAUUUAAACCAAUCCAGCUUGCUGGGUCUUGGGCUUCGCCUCCGGGCGGGCCUCAAAAUCAGUGGCGGCGCCUCUCGGCUCUAAGCGUAGUAAUACUCCUCGCUAUAGGGUCCCGAGCGGAUGCCUGCCAGCAACCCCCAAUUUUAUCAGGUUGACCUCGGAUCAGGUAGGGAUACCCGCUGAACUUAAGCAUAUCAAUAAGCGGAGGA